GACGAAGGAUCCAAGCGUUAUCCGGAUUUAUUGGGUUUAAAGGGUGCGUAGGCGGAUUGAUAAGUCAGUGGUGAAAGCCUGCAGCUUAACUGCAGAACUGCCAUUGAUACUGUCAAUCUUGAAUAUGUUUGAUGUGGGCGGAAUAUGACAUGUAGCGGUGAAAUGCUUAGAUAUGUCAUAGAACACCGAUUGCGAAGGCAGCUCACUACGGGAUUAUUGACACUGAGGCACGAAAGCGUGGGGAUCAAACAGG
rnacentral:rRNA from 1 species